ACAAGCAUAAAAUUAUGGAGCAGAAAAGUUGAAUAGAUACAUUACAGAUAUUUUCCAGCAUGGAAUGAAAUACUAGGGCAUAUAACAAAAACAUACUAUGCAAACAGAUGCCAUUACUUUCUUGCAAGAUAUAUGUGGAAAUAUGUUUAAGCAUUUAUUCAGACAUUGAUGAGGAACUUACAAGCACAAAAUUAUGAAGUACAAAAGUUGAAUAGAUACAUUAAAGAAAUUAGACAGUGUGGAAUGAAAUGCUAGGACAAAUAACAAAAACAUAAUCUGAAGACAGAUGUAAUUACUUUCUUGCAAGAUAUAUGUAGAAAUAUGUUUAAGCGUUUGAACAGACACGGAGCGGAAAAUUGCAUCAGAGAUAUUAUGGAGUAGAAGUAUUAAAUAGAUACAGUGCAGAAAUUAUUCAAGCAAGAGCAGUAUUAAAUUAGAUAAGUUUGUCUUGCACGUUA